GACGAACGCUGGCGGCGUGCUUAACACAUGCAAGUCGAGCGGUAAGGCCCUUUCGGGGGUACACGAGCGGCGAACGGGUGAGUAACACGUGGGUGACCUGCCCUUAGCUCUGGGAUAAGCCUGGGGAACUGGGUCUAAUACCGGAUAUGACUCCAUGACGCAUGUUGUGGGGUGGAAAGCCUUGUGCGGCUAGGGAUGGGCCCGCGGCCUAUCAGCUUGUUGGUGGGGUGAUGGCCUACCAAGGCGACGACGGGUAGCCGGCCUGAGAGGGCGACCGGCCACACUGGGACUGAGACACGGCCCAGACUCCUACGGGAGGCAGCAGUGGGGAAUCUUGCGCAAUGGGCGAAAGCCUGACGCAGCGACGCCGCGUGAGGGAUGACGGCCU
rnacentral:rRNA from 1 species